AGCGGGGUGGGGAAAGAGUAUCCCGUAAGGCCCAUAACCUUAAGAUUGUCGGUGCAAGUCCGACCCCCGCAAC
rnacentral:tRNA from 1 species